GGCAAUGUUUCAUUUAUAUCUGUUUAUCACUAUAUCUUUUGAUUUUCCAUGCAUAAAAAUCAGUGGAAAUACAAUAAUAAUAAAUUGAAAGCAGUGUUAUUUAUUUUAACAGAAUUUGGUACAUCUUUUGUUACUACCUAUUACAAAAAAUGCAUCUAAACUGCAAAAAUCUUAUCACAUAUAACACAAUGAAUAAAAAAAUGUCUUUAUUUUUAGCAUAUGAAUUUUUUGAAAAUGAUUUUAAAUCUUUAUUUUUUAAUCACUCUUGUAACAUCCCAUCUUCUUGUGUUGCACCAUACUAUUUAGGAACCACUGACAAGGAGAGUACACAGCUGACUACCCCCCAAUUUUGAUGAAACUGAACUGAUGUAAUCUAAUAAGGAAAAAAUAUCGAAUAUGUGUCCAAG
rnacentral:lncRNA from 1 species